UAUUAAAAAUUUCAUCCAUUUCUUAUGUUAAAAAUUGGCUUAACUGAUGAAAUAACUAAAUAGUUAUACAUAGCGUGUCACGUGUACACCGUACAGACGUACAUGGAGUAGUUUUUAAUAGUAAAAGUAGAUGGUACUUUUAAUA
rfam:Gossypium arboreum cultivar AKA8401 contig_2042_13, whole genome shotgun sequence.